rnacentral:rRNA from 1 species
AGGACGAACGCUGGCGGCGUGCUUAACACAUGCAAGUCGAACGGUAAGGCCCCUUCGGGGGUACACGAGUGGCGAACGGGUGAGUAACACGUGAGCAACCUGCCCUUGACAUUGGAAUAACAGUUGGAAACAGCUGCUAAUACCGGGUAUGACACAUCUUCGCAUGGGGGUGUGUGGAAAGCCUUGGCGGUCAAGGAUGGGCUCGCGGCCUAUCAGCUAGUUGGUGAGGUAAUGGCUCACCAAGGCUUCGACGGGUAGCCGGCCUGAGAGGGCGACCGGCCACACUGGGACUGAGAUACGGCCCAGACUCCUACGGGAGGCAGCAGUGGGGAAUAUUGCACAAUGGGCGAAAGCCUGAUGCAGCAACGCCGCGUGCGGGAUGACGGCCUUCGGGUUGUAACCGCUUCAGUGGGACGAAGCUAACGUGACGGUACCUACAGAAGAAGCACCGGCCAACUACGCGCCAGCAGCCGCGGU